ensembl:lncRNA
CAAGUUCUUUUGAUACUGUGGUGCUGAUCCCAGCAUGUCUGGGCAGAGAGGCAGAAAGAGUCUGAGUGUGUGUACAUGCUAAAACUUGGCAUGUCAGGACAGAGGCAGCAUAUUUUGGGUCGUUGUGGCGUGACACACACACACACACACACACACACACACACACACACACACACACUAACAUGGAUUUGGGAACUGUGCUCUUCUGAUUUCCUGUACCAAACCUUAUAGACUUUACAAACGUAAGAUCGGUGAUCAUUUCUAUCAUCAUCAUCAUCAUCAUCAUCAUCACCACCACUGCAGAUGAGAACAUGGAGCCUGGUGAUCACUGGAUCCCUGAUGAUGUCGCUCAAUGGCUUAAUCACAUUGGAAUCCACCAGCACCAGCCGUCUCUCAACAUGCUGUAUGGUAGGAACUCACACACACACACACACACACACACACCACACACACACAUAUCCCUGCUCCCCACAAAUCUGUGUUUUAUUUAUUUAUUUUCUACUUUUGUUAGACAAAGUGCAGGGUCAUGUGGAACACUGGAACUUUAAUGACUGAAUAAUUCAUAAUAAUUAGUACAUCACAUGCUUUGGGAUGAAUAGUGAAUAAUGAGCAGGGGGUGUAAUGGGUGUAAAAGCCACUUGUGCUAAUUUGGGUCAGUUAAAUGUAUUAUCAUCAUCCAGGCGAUAUUUGGUCUCGAUGAACAUUCACAUUUACAAACAAAUCAAUAAAUUACACCGAAAUCACAGGAACACUGAGCUAAUAAUAUCGAAAUCGCACAAUUUACACACCACUCUGUAUCCACUGAACUUUAAACUGAAGGACUGAAUAAAAAUCAGAGAAGGUAGUGUUGCGUGAGAUUCAGUUCAUUCAUGUUAAUUCCUAGACUUACUCCCCCUUCAUCCAUUCUAGAGAAAAAUAAGCCAUGAAUCGAUCAUCGGUGCUGUUAGUCGUAAUGUUUUGUGGAUUCUGUUACAUGUGAUAAAUGAACUUUACCUACUCCUGCACCAGGCUCUUAAAAGAUGACAGUUAUUUGGAAAGAAUCGGUUCAGUAAAGUGAGUCAAAAUGCUCAUUACUUUAGUGUCGACUCUUUUCGCGAGCGCGAGUCACUGACCAAUCACAGCGAGUAACACGAGUAGGGGUGUGGUUUUGGACGGAAGCGGGUGCAAAAGAAUAAAAAAGUUGGACAGACGAUCAGGCUAACGGUGCUACUACAGUCCGGUCCGGUCCGGUCCGGUCCAGUGCAGUGCGGGGCGGUGAGACUUUCAUUUAUUUACAUUUUAUAAUAAGUGAGGAUCUCGGGCCUGCAAGAACAUUAUCGGUUCUGAUUAUUCCUGUCGGUCUGCGUGAAAUGAAGAAACGUCUCCCGGGCUAUUAAUAGGGCUGAGAAAGUUAUUUCAGCAUGGUGGAGCUGAGUGUGUGCUGAAGAUCACCUCUCUCUGU